GUGGGAGAGAAAGCUGCACCUCCACGUCGCGCACACUCUCCUGGCUCGAACGUGGUGAUGCUGGAUGCUAAAAAGCUAAGUUUAACUCUGGACAUUGAGGCACAUUCAAAUGCUGAAGGGACGUAAUUCUGAUGGAUUUUACCCAAUAACGUGACGGACAUGUAUAAGGCACACAUGUAUAUCAUCAGCUGUCGGAAGUCCCGCAAACAGGAGAGGAUGUAUGACUCGCCCACAUGGCUGCUUUACCUGCACACUGUUCAGAAAAUGAGGCGGAAGAGGAGUGGGUGGAAAGAAGGAUGGGAGGACUGUAGGAAGCGGAUGAACCCGGAGCAGGAGAACACAUAUGUGGCGCCAUUACUGGCUCUCUGGCUGCCUUCCUCCCGCGGCCGCCGGCGGUUGCAUUCAAGGGUCCCGGAGCCGGCAGGGGCCAGCCAACAUUCGCGGCGGAGUGGGCAGCCGAGGGCCUGGCCCGAGCCAGGAGAGAUGCAGGUGAGGCGGACGAGCCGGAGCGCUCAUCGCCGCCGGCUAGGAGCCUCUGUGCAGUGAAAUCAAUACGAAGGAGAGAGGCUAGCAGAGGUUGGCCAGAACUGCCUGCGGGCCUCACUGAGCCCUGGGACCCAACACUAUAGUGUUCCCGCCUCCAACUCUUUCCUGCUUAUUUUUCAACAGUUCUGGCACCAGCCCGGUCCAGCGCCAUCACCGUUGCACUCGCCGCCCCACACACAAAUCUUUCAGUGUGGGUAUCAGCCUUGAAGGAGUUUUGCCAGGAACAUUUUGUCAGAGCCACAGAGGCGUCCGGGACGCAAGGUUGGGGGAAAAAAAAGAACAAGCAAAGACGUGGGAAAAAAAACCUUGAUUCUACAAACUGUUUGAAUAAGGAUUCACAGUGAAAGAACGAUAAACUAGACGAUCCAUCCAAGCCCAAUACACCUUCAUCUCACGGGCCUGGAUGAAAGGACAACUUUUUCUCCAAUCUGCGUUAUCAGACUUUCUCUUUUUUAUUGCUUUAUAUUUUCUGAGCCACACUAAGAGCACCCGCCUUCAGAGGAUAUGGAAGUGCAGUAUUGAUCCAGAAUGUGGUGCGGCAAAAAAGGGGGGCUUUCAAGGCUCUCUCUCUGGGUGUAAAAAGAACCAAAAGUCCACUACUCACUGCUGUGUAACCACUAAUGAACAACAGUGAAAGUAAGACUUUCCUUUUGUUUUGUUUUUUUUACCUGCAAUUGAGCUUAAUGACUGAUCAAGAAGAUGUGGCUCAGGACCUAAAGCAUCUGAAGAGUUCCAACUUUCUGGCGCACCGAGGACAGCACAGGGGUCCUUGCUACAUGCACGUGGCGAGAUUGGAGGAGCGCGGGCAUACGAGGAACACGAUUGAAGCCACAGUCAUGAGGACAGAAAGCAGCAAUCCAGCAACAUCAAGAGUCUAUUUUUUUAAUCUUAGGUUUGUCCACAUUGGGAAGAUACCACCUGGAUAACAAUUUGGAAAAUGCACCAUUAUGGAUUUUUGGAUGUGUGCAGGUAAGUGGGAGGAGCUUCCAAAAGGUAUGUUAAGGGACAUUUGACAUAGUUAUAAAGUGCGGAAUGACCACUUUAAAGUAGGGUUUCCUAAAAAUAGCAUCCAAAAUAUGCAAAGAAGUGUACACUAUUAUAAUAAUAUAAUACAGACUCUCAGUUGGGGGAGACUUUAAAGUCAAUAAUUUAACCCUACAUAUUUUUCUACCACUUUUUGCACUUUUUUUCAAUAUGUUCCUAAUGUCAUGAUAUGGCUUGAUUCUUUUUUUAAUAAGGGCUGUCCAAUUACAAACAUGCAUCUUCAACGUGCAGAACUCCCUUGAAAAAGAGAUUCUUAAUCUCAAAGGGACUUUCCUGGGUAUAUAACGGUUACACAAAUAAAUGAAGAAAACAUAUUUUGAAAAGAAAAAGAAAACGUCUUCAUAAAAAUAUUUACAGCCAUAUGCUUUUGGAAUUUUUUUUUAAUUGACCAAUUGUUUGUAUGCUGUUAUUUUUUUGCAGCAGCUUUUUCAUAUACUGUAAUACUGUAUAUGGUAGUUGGGAUUUGUUAUAUGUCGUACACAUUAUAUAACAAUAUAACCCCAAAUGCAGCUGAGAUAGGCUCCAACGCCCCCCGCUACCCUAAAAGGGACAAAAGGUAGAAAUGGAUAGAUGGAUGGAAUAUAUCUGUAUAUAUUAUAUUCUGUAUACCGUAUUUUUCGGAGUAUAAGGUGCACUGGAAUAUAAGUCGCAUUUUUGGGGGAAAUGUAUUUGAUAAAACCCAACACCAAGAAUAGACAUUUGAAAGGCAAUUUGAAAGAAAUAAAGAAUAGUGAACAACAGGCUGAAUAAGUGUACGUUAUAUGACGCAUAAAUAACCAACUGAGAAGGUGCCUGGUAUGUUAACGUAACAUAUUAUGGUAAGAGUCAUUCAAAUAAUUAUAACAUAUAGAACAUGCUGUAUGUUUACCAAACAAUCUGUCACUCCUAAUCGAUAAAUCCCAUGAAAUAUUAUACGUCUAGUCUCUUACGUGAAUAAGCUAAAUAAUAUUAUUUGAUAUUUUACGGUAAUGUGUUAAUAAUUUCGCACACAAGUCGCUCCUGGGUAUAAGUCGCAGCCUUUGCCAAACUAUGAAAAAAACUGCGACUUAUAUACGGUAUACAAUAUUUAAAUAUUACACAUUUUAUGUUGCUACUAUGGUACAUUUUAACGUACUUUACACCUUUGGUUUUUGCCCUCUUUUUGUGCCCUUGUGUGCAUUAUGCUUUCAAUCCUUAUCCUUUCCAUGCAUUGUAACUGAGCUACAAUUUCCCUUGUGAGAUCAUUAAAGUCUAUGUAAGUCUGAGUUUGUAAUGUCAUCAUUAACAAAGUAAUUUGUUUUCUUUUAUUAGACUUUUUUUAAAUUGUAAAACAAUCAGAAUUCUUUAUAUUGUGAAUCUGAUCAAAUGUUUCUUUUAUGGCAUGAAACCAGCUUUUUUUUGUUUUUUUAAUUAUUAAAUAAUAAUACCGUGUGGUAAUUUUAAUAAUGAUAAAACACGUUUUAAAUGACACAAUGUAGAUACAUGCUUUUCAUUGGACAGCCCCUAACGUUUAUAAGUAUGUAAUAUGUACGUACAAAAAAAAACAUCAUUAAAAACAAAUCUCUCACACACUUUUUGAUCGUCCGGUAAGCACUUCAUCACAAAAUUGUCCAACAUUUCAUCAAAAAAGUGAUUUAAGUACACUUCAAUUUGGAUUUAUUGUAUAACUAAUACCUUUGUUUUGUGUCGAAUGUAUUGUAUAAAAAGAUUUCAAAUUGACAAAAUGCAAAGUGUUGCCCCAAUGUGACUUUCAAUAAAUGCCUGAUU